AGCGGGGUGGGGUAGCCAGGUUAACCCGCAGGGCUCAUAACCCUGAGAUCCGUGGUUCAAAUCCACGCCCCGCUACCA
rnacentral:tRNA from 1 species